AAUCCACAACUGUAGGAAGGACUGAGAGGAGCACCAGCAGCAAACAGAUGCAAAAAGACAUCAAAAGCAGUUAGUCCAAAAUUAAAAACAGCCAAUAAAACCUUAAUCCCCAUUAACAAGACCCAUAGCCAAAUAAAACCAAAAAGCAAACCCAAAGAAAAAAUCAAAUCUUAAAGUGCAACUGAAAUUUCAGAUCGGGCCUGAAACUUUAAGAUCUAAGUUUUAUUUUAACUUGUUUCACUCACCACUCUCUACCUAUUUUUUCCUCCAUUCAUGCAUAUGUACAGCGUCUGAGAUUUCUAGUUUCAUUUGUGUGAAACUUCUUGAUGAUGCACAGUACUUUGUGCAUCGAAGGCAAAUUUUCAUCACUAGAUUUACGCAUUUGUUUGUAAAAAAACUCUUUGAGGAGGAUAAUAAAUAGGGAACCAAGAUUGUAGAAGUUAAAGAAAAACGAGAUCCUCGUCAUGCAUUUUCAGCGAAGAAAAAAUAUACUGUCUUUGACCCCUUCAACAAUAAAUUUUAAUUCACAACAGAAUGACAUAUGAAAGCUUUAUUGAGAAAUAA
rnacentral:lncRNA from 1 species